ACAUCUAACGAAUACCAAAGGUUUACCGCUAUAGGAUGGGGAUGCGUCUGAUUAGGUUGUUGGCGGGGUAACGGCCCACCAAGCCGUCGAUCAGUAGGGGUUCUGAGAGGAAGGUCCCCCACAUUGGAACUGAGACACGGUCCAAACUCCUACGGGAGGCAGCAGUGAGGAAUAUUGGUCAAUGGACGGAAGUCUGAACCAGCCAAGUAGCGUGCAGGAUGACGGCCCUAUGGGUUGUAAACUGCUUUUAUACAGGGAUAAAGUCGGGGACGUGUUCCCGUUUGUAGGUACUGUAUGAAUAAGGACCGGCUAAUUCCGUGCCAGCAGCCGCGGUAAUACGGAAGGUCCGGGCGUUAUCCGGAUUUAUUGGGUUUAAAGGGAGCGCAGGCCGACUGGUAAGCGUGACGUGAAAUGUAGCCGCUCAACGGCUGCACUGCGUCGCGAACUGUCAGUCUUGAGUGAGUACGAUGUUGGCGGAAUUCGUGGUGUAGCGGUGAAAUGCUUAGAUAUCACGAAGAACUCCGAUUGCGAAGGCAGCCAACAAGGCCUUUACUGACGCUAAAGCUCGAAGGUGCGGGUA
rnacentral:rRNA from 1 species